rnacentral:lncRNA from 1 species
UUUAUGGUAAAUGUUAUGAUAUUCGAAGUGAAUAGAAUCAUUGACCUUUUUAUCACUUAAUUAUUUUAUUAUCUAUUUUUUAGUCUUUUUCAUAUGGAAUGACUCCCUCCUAUAAAUUUGCUUUAAGCAUCAGAAUAAUACCAAGAAAAUAUAUAUAUUUGCAUUUUAACAAUAGUUUUAAAGUGUAACCACAACCACAAUUAUAAUUACAAUAUUGAAGUCUUAAAAAGGUCUCUUGCAAAUUACAGUGGUAUCAGUCAUUUUUGUCUUUAAUUUUCCAUCAUUUCAAAAAUUGUGAUGCAACUACACCCGCAAUUUAAAACCUUAUACUUGUAAUAAUAUUUCUUUUGAGAGUCCUUUUGAAAAUUUAAUUUGAAUAUUAAAAGGUGAUUGAUACGUAUGUAUUUUUUAUCUACUUUUUCAAUUCCCUAACAAGUUGGAAGCUUGAUAUAUAUGAUAUAUCUUUGUCUUUGGAGGGGUAAUAUAUAUAUAUGCUCCAUUGUUAAUGAAAUAACAACCCUCAAAAUGUUGAUUGUCCUUCAUUGAAGGUACCAAUCCAAUCUACAUAAGCUAAUCCAACAGCGAGAAUAUGGAGGAAGAAGAAAAUGAAGAGGAUGAAGACAAAUGUGUUGAGGUCUUGAAUAUAAUGCUUCUCUCCUUUUGAAGAAAGGAGCAUUAAUUAAAAGGCAAUUCAUAGUGAGGCUAAGGGAAGGCUAAGCCUUUCUUCCAGGUUCAAUUCUAGAGACAGCUACACCAAAGUUUGUUUAGUGUUGUAUCUCUUUCAGCUCAUUCUUUAAACUCAGAAAUCAUGCAUGGUAUAUCCAAAUAGAUGUAUGUGUAUGUGAAGAAGGCAAGCAGCAGAAACAGAAACAGAGAUAGUAAUGUUUACCUCUGUUUUUGCUGGAAGCCAUGAAUAAAAUUGUAAACUGUUUGUUUGUUGGCACAUAGAUAGAAAACUUAAGUGUUUUCCAGUGUCGGCAUUAGCCUUGUGCUGUAAAAAUUUAGGUACAUGUCAUGUAAUGUUUGUUGUCUAUGAUUUUUUCGAUUUGUGUAAUGUGGCAGGUCCAUUUGUUGUCUAUGAUACUUGUGGUCCAUAUGCGAAGAUUUAUGUAAUCAAUUAUGUUCAAAUAAUUAAUAAAUUUCAGUGAAGAUCGAAUCAAUUGUGGAUACUGACUUUGAACUAUUGCAACAAUCUUUGGCUAGAGUUUAGUUAACUCUUAGCCAAACUCCAGAUGACUACUAUCUCUUCUCCUAAAAAUC